rnacentral:rRNA from 1 species
AGAGUUUGAUCCUGGCUCAGGAUGAACGCUAGCGGCGUGCCUAACACAUGCAAGUCGAACGUGAAAGUUGGAAGCUUCGGUGGAAGACUGGAAAGUGGCGGACGGGUGAGUAACACGUUGGUAAUCUGCCUCAAAGUGGGGGAUAACCAUUGGAAACGAUGGCUAAUACCGCAUGGUCUUGUGUUGACGGGAGUCAAUGCAAGUAAAGCUCCGGCGCUUUGAGAGGAGCCUGCGUCUGAUUAGUUAGUUGGUGAGGUAACGGCUCACCAAGGCGAUGAUCAGUAGCUGGUCUGAGAGGACGAUCAGCCACACGGGAACUGAGACACGGUCCCGACUCCUACGGGGGGCAGCAGUGAGGAAUAUUCGGCAAUGGGGGCAACCCUGACCGAGCAACGCCGCGUGGAGGAUGAAGGCCCUUGGGUUGUAAACUCCUUUUCUGCGGGAAGAGCAAGGACGGUACCGCAGGAAUAAGUCACGGCUAACUACGUGCCAGCAGCCGCGGUAAUACGUAGGUGGCAAGCGUUAUCCGGAAUUACUGGGCGUAAAGCGCACGCAGGUGGUUACUUAAGUCUGACGUGAAAGCUCCUGGCUUAACUGGGAGAGGUCGUUGGAAACUGGGUAGCUUGAGGCGAUGAGAGGGGUGUGGAAUUCCCGGUGUAGUGGUGGAAUGCGUAGAUAUCGGGAGGAACACCAGUGGCGAAAGCGGCACCCUGGCAUUGGCCUGACGCUCAUGUGCGAAAGCGUGGGUAGCGAACGGGAUUAGAUACCCCGGUAGUCCACGCUGUAAACGAUGAAUACUAGGUGUAGGCGACUCAAAUCGUCUGUGCCGAAGCCAACGCGAUAAGUAUUCCGCCUGGGGACUACGGCCGCAAGGCUAAAACUCAAAGGAAUUGACGGGGGCCCGCACAAGCAGCGGAGCGUGUGGUUUAAUUCGAUGCAACGCGAAAAACCUUACCUGGGUUUGACAUGUACGUAGUAGUGAAGGGAAACUGGAACGAUUCUUCGGAAAGUGUACACAGGUGCUGCAUGGCUGUCGUCAGCUCGUGUCGUGAGAUGUUGGGUUAAGUCCCGCAACGAGCGCAACCCUUGUCGCUAGUUACAAGUGUCUAGCGAGACCGCUGGUAUUAAACCAGAGGAAGGUGAGGAUGAUGUCAAGUCAGCAUGGCCUUUAUAUCCAGGGCUACACACACGCUACAAUGGUCAGUACAAUGGGCAGCCAAACCGCGAGGUGGAGCGAAUCUCAUCAAAGCUGAUCGUAGUUCAGAUUGUAGGCUGCAACUCGCCUGCAUGAAGCCGGAGUUGCUAGUAAACGCAGGUCAGCAUUACUGCGUUGAAUACGUUCCCGGGCCUUGUACACACCGCCCGUCACGUCAUGGAAGUUGGUAAUACCUGAAGUCGGUGACCUAACCGCAAGGGAGGAGCUGCCUAGGGUGGGGCCGAUGACUGGGACGAAGUCGUAACAAGGUAACCGUA